rnacentral:rRNA from 1 species
GGGACGGUGGCUAAUACCGGAUGUGCCGCACGGUGAAAGGUUAACUGCCUGAAGAUGAGCUCGCGUCUGAUUAGCUAGUUGGUGUGGUAAGAGCGCACCAAGGCGACGAUCAGUAGCUGGUCUGAGAGGACGAUCAGCCACACUGGGACUGAGACACGGCCCAGACUCCUACGGGAGGCAGCAGUGGGGAAUUUUCCGCAAUGGGCGAAAGCCUGACGGAGCAAUACCGCGUGAGGGAGGAAGGCUCUUGGGUCGUAAACCUCUUUUCUCAGGGAAGAACACAAUGACGGUACCUGAGGAAUAAGCAUCGGCUAACUCCGUGCCAGCAGCCGCGGUAAUACGGAGGAUGCAAGCGUUAUCCGGAAUGAUUGGGCGUAAAGCGUCCGCAGGUGGCUAUGUAAGUCUGCUGUUAAAGAGUCUAGCUCAACUAGAUAAGAGCAGUGGAAACUACAAGGCUAGAGUGCGUUCGGGGCAGAGGGAAUUCCUGGUGUAGCGGUGAAAUGCGUAGAGAUCAGGAAGAACACCGGUGGCGAAGGCGCUCUGCUAGGCCGCAACUGACACUGAGGGACGAAGC